rnacentral:rRNA from 1 species
CCUACGGGAGGCAGCAGUGGGGAAUAUUGCGCAAUGGGGGCAACCCUGACGCAGCAACGCCGCGUGAUUGAAGAAGGCCUUCGGCUUGUAAAGAUCUAUCAUCGGGGACGAAACAAAUGAUGGUACCCAAAGAAUAAGCUCCGGCUAACUACGUGCCAGCCGCCGUGGUAAUACGUAGGGAGCCAGCGUUAUCCGGAUUUACUGGGGAUAAAGGGCGAGUAGGCGGGCUGGCACGUUUGGAGUGAAAUCCCGGGGCUUAACCCCGGAGCUGCUUGAAGAACCGCUGGUCUUGAGUGAUGGAGAGGCAGGCGGAAUUCCGUGUGUAGCGGUGAAAUGCGUAGAUAUACGGAGGAACACCAGUGGCGAAGGCGGCCUGCUGGACAUUAACUGACGCUGAGGAGCGAAAGCGUGGGGAGCAAACAGGAUUAGAUACCCGGGUAGUC